GUCAGGACUGGGCAACAGUUUUUCUUUUGACAAAAUUGAGCACCAUUAACUUCAAUAACUUUCCUUCCUGGAAAGGUGCAGCAAGUUAAGGAGAGAUGGUGGGAUGCUUGGAAGCUCUCUUAGCUUGUUUCUUCCCUGCUGUUCUGUGGGCCAUUCACUUGGAGCAGGAGCAGAUCUCGGUCACAAAGCAGCCACUUCAAGGCAGCUCUGCCACAUUCACUUGCAAGGUGUUUGGUGGAUCGGACUCUACCUACAUCCACUGGUACCGAGCCCCAGCUGGAGAGGCCCCACAGAGGCUGCUGUACCUCACUCUCUCUGGGUCAGACUUAAAGCGAGAGGCAGGCUUCUCCAGUGACAAAUUCUCAGCCUAUGGGACACAAAGCACCUGCAUCUUGAUGGUGAACAAGCUGGAAGAGACAGAUAGCGGCCGCUAUUACUGUACCACAUGGGAUUUUACACAGUGCCACAAGUUUCCUGCAACUCUGCACAAAAAACCACCACAGCUCUGUGUGUGGGGCUCAACUCUCAUAUUACUGCUGCAGCAGAGCAGGCUGAGCCCUGCCCCCUGCCCAGGCACACCAGCCCACAGAACAGGCAUAGUCUCAGUUCCACAAGCCACAGCCAGUGUGAACUCCCGUUCGACCAGCCCAAGUUGUGUAGGGAUUUGCCUCAGCCAGGGAAGUGGGAGUUUACCUAGUGGGUGGCACAAAGCUGACAUCCAGUGACUGCCUACCAGUGCUGGCUCCAUCUCUAAUCCACAUGUGAUUAAACAGUCACUACCCAUUUGACUUCACAAAGCAACAGGUGACCAGAGGCACUGAGGAGUCAGAGAAUGAGGGAGAAUGGGGUGGAGAGUGUAAAAGUGAAUAGGGAAGGUGAGGGGGAAGAUGUUUUCUAGGUAGGAACAAACAGCAGUUUGCAUCUCCACUGGGAAUUUUCAGCACAUGUCCAUGGCUGGAACUGUAGUAUACACAGAAUACAGGAGUUUUUCUACUCAGUUUUAGUGGCCAUACAUAUAAUAACGAACUUGGCUUCUCUGAGUGUACACGUGUGCCAUGCUCAAGGAGUUAAGACAAGAGCAGCAGCAAAAUUUAUAGCUUACAUGCUCUUCAUUCUAAAUGUGAGAUGGGCACAGGGAAAUCUUGGGGGGCUUCCGUCCCAUGGGAAAGGGCCCAAUCCUCAUAUUCAUCGGCACUGCACUCGGUGUAAGACUGAGCUUGGUGACAAAGGUUGCUGGAUACCAUCUUUGUGCCUCCAUAAUGCUAGGACCAGCUAGUGGCUUGUUUGCUCCCACUACACAUUUGCGCAUUUAGUUGUGCCCUGCUAGGAAUGGCCCUAAGGAGCCCUUGUGGGAGUUAGGGAUCACAGUAAUGCAGUACCUCCUUCUAGCCAUGUCCAUUACAGUAGAAUGGAAAUGGAAUACCUUAUCCUAGGUUCCAGGAAUUCCAGCCCAUCCUAAGAAUGGGUAGGUUUGGGUUCACACUCAUGUCCUCUGAUAGUUCAUUUCACCAUCAAUUUCCUUUGACUGAGAACUUUUAAUCAUCAUUACAAAUAAGCAAAUGAAACUGGUUAUUGUAUUGUGAUGGAUGUGUGGGGCUCCUGUUAAUAUCAAUGGAUUGUAUAUGGUACUCACUCACAUAUAAUUUAGAGAGACAUAUGUGCAUGUCACUUACAGACACCAUUCAGAAUGUCCAAUAUAGAUUAAUAUCAAUUCAAGUUCUUGGCAUGUAUGUUAAGGAAACCAUUUCGUUCACAACAAAUCAUGAACAUAGGACAUUUACUGAAAUGUGGUACUUACACAUUUAUUUCCAAAAGAAUUCAUUAAUACGUAGCUAAAGUUCAUAAAAUCAGAGAGGUUUGAAUGGAAAAGACCUAUUACAGCAUCCAGUCCAUCUUCCUGCCAAUGCAGAACUAUUCCCUACAAAGUAUCUUCCAGUGUUUUGUCUAGUCUAGUUUUAAAGGUCUCCACAGUGGGGUUUUCCAUCAUCUCCUUUGAGAGAUGAUUCCAUGCCUGAUUGAGAUCAAUGUUGGUAAAUUUACUUGAUAUUCUAAGUUUUACAUAUUUUCUCUCUCCUCACUGGUGUCUCCAACUCAACCCAAUUUUAAAUCGUAUGCAAGUUUUCAAAUGUAUUUAUUGUUCAUGCCAUCCUUUGCAUCAGUAACGAAGAUGUUCUGCAUUUCUUUUUUCUUGCCUUAAAGAUUGAUUAAAGCACUUAGAAAUCUCCAAAUGAAAGGUGCUCUAUCCCGCAAGAUACUGAGCUAUUUCUAAGAGAUGGGGGUGCGCUUAUCAUCAUCUGUAGGCACUAAUGAGAGGUGAGAUACCUCAGCACUUCCAGGGUUACUUAUAGUGCUUUACAGGAUAAACUCUGAAUGAGCUAAGUGCUCAGAUUAUUUUUAAUAGUUCUGACUUAGGUACAGAAUUCAAUUAAGUCACGAGAAGAUUCGAUACUUGAGUUAGGUGACUAUUUUUCUUCUAGUCUCUUGAUCAUUACAGGUCUGUCACAUCUUAGACACAUUUAACAUGUGCUAUUUCAGCUUUACGCGGUCAGCAA